AUGCCGUCGAUUGACAAGGCCACCGACAACGGCGAGCUGAAGCAGCGGCAGCCGGAGCAGGAGCUGGUCUGCGUCACGGGCGCUGGAGGCUUCAUCGGCUCCUGGGUGGUGAAGGAGCUCCUCCUCCCUGGCUACCGCGUCAGGGGAACCGCCAGGGACCCCGGUAAGUCAGUGCCUGACCAAAAGAACACCCACCUGCUGGCGAUGGAGGGCGCCGAGGAGAGGCUCACCCUGUGCCGCGCCGACGUUCUCAACUACGACGGCCUCCGCGCCGCCUUCCGCGGCUGCCACGGCGUCUUCCACGUCGCCUCGCCAGUGGAACCCGUUAGUUCACUUCCUCUGCUCUGCUCACUUCUUGCGAUUCUAACAAGCGCCGCGUACCGAGUGGCUUACCUCGUGCUCUGCUAUGUUGUCUUCCAGGACCUCGUGCCGGUCGCCGUGGAGGGGACGAGGAACGUGAUCAGAGCGGCGGCGGACGCGGGCGUGCGGCGGGUGGUGUUCACGUCGUCCUACGGCGCCGUGCACAUGGACCCCAACCGCAGCCCCGACGCCGUGCUCGACGAGACGUGCUGGAGCGACUAUGAGUACUGCAAAAACACAGGGAACCUUUACUGCUGCGCCAAGAUGAUGGCGGAGAUCACUGCGACGGAGGAGGCCGCUAAGAGGGGCCUGGAGCUUGCGGUCGUGGUGCCGUCCAUGACUGUGGGCCCCAUGUUGCAGCAGUCGCUCAACUUCAGCAGCAGCCACGUGGCCCGCUACCUCACCGGCGUCAAGCCCACCUACCCCAACGCGGUCGCCGCCUACACCGACGUCCGUGAUGUCGCCCGCGCGCACGUCCUUGUCUACGAGCACCCCGAUGCACACGGCCGCUACCUUUGCAUCGGCGCCGUGCUGCACCGUGCGCACUUCCUUCAGCUCCUCGGCGACCUCUUUCCUCAGUACAACAUAACCGCCAAGUGCGAAGACGACGGCAAGCCCAUGGCGAAGCCGUACAAGUUCUCGAACCGGAGGCUGAGAGACAUGGGAUUGGACUUCACUCCGCUGAAGGAAAGUUUGUAUGAGACAGUGACGUGCUUGCAGAAAAAUGGCCACCUGCCACUGCCCGUUGUUGCCAUGGCGCCAAAGCGUGACAGGGGACAUUUCUGUCUGGUGAAAUAA
rnacentral:rRNA from 1 species